rnacentral:lncRNA from 1 species
UCAUUACCCAACACUUGUAGAGUGAUUUUAACCCAUUAAAACACAUAAUCAUAGAAUUAAAUCAUGCAAUUUGUACUGUUCUUGAUGUUUUUGAAGUGUAGAACAUAAAUUCCUAAAAUUCAACGCCACAGAUUCGUUAUAAAACCAAAUCCAACCAUUCAAAUUUUGUUUUGUUCGUUUUAGCAUGCAUAAUCAUAUACAAGUGGAAAUUUUAUAGAAAAAUUUAUGGUUGACAUAUUAAAAUUACGUAUAAG